rnacentral:rRNA from 1 species
UACGUAGGGUGCAAGCGUUAAUCGGAAUUACUGGGCGUAAAGCGUGCGCAGGCGGUUAUGUAAGACAGUUGUGAAAUCCCCGGGCUCAACCUGGGAACUGCAUCUGUGACUGCAUUGCUGGAGUGCGGCAGAGGGGGAUGGAAUUCCGCGUGUAGCAGUGAAAUGCGUAGAUAUGCGGAGGAACACCGAUGGCGAAGGCAAUCCCCUGGGCCUGCACCGACGCUCAUGCACGAAAGCGUGGGGAGCAAACAGG